AUUGAACGCUGGCGGCAUGCCUUACACAUGCAAGUCGAACGGCAGCGGGGGAGAAGCUUGCUUUUCCUGCCGGCGAGUGGCGAACGGGUGAGUAAUACAUCGGAACGUGCCCUGUAGUGGGGGAUAACUAGUCGAAAGAUUAGCUAAUACCGCAUACAACCUGAGGGUGAAAGUGGGGGACCGCAAGGCCUCAUGCUAUAGGAACGGCCGAUGUCUGAUUAGCUAGUUGGUGGGGUAAAGGCCUACCAAGGCGACGAUCAGUAGCUGGUCUGAGAGGACGAUCAGCCACACUGGGACUGAGACACGGCCCAGACUCCUACGGGAGGCAGCAGUGGGGAAUUUUGGACAAUGGGCGAAAGCCUGAUCCAGCAAUGCCGCGUGUGUGAAGAAGGCCUUCGGGUUGUAAAGCACUUUUGUCCGGAAAGAAAUGGCUCUGGUUAAUACCUGGGGUCGAUGACGGUACCGGAAGAAUAAGGACCGGCUAACUACGUGCCAGCCGCCGCAGUAAAAC
rnacentral:rRNA from 1 species